CAGCAGCCGCGGGAAAACAGAGGGUGCGAGCGUUAAUCGGAUUUACUGGGCGUAAAGCGUGCGUAGGCGGCUUCUUAAGUCGGAUGUGAAAUCCCUGAGCUUAACUUAGGAAUUGCAUUCGAUACUGGGAAGCUAGAGUAUGGGAGAGGAUGGUAGAAUUCCAGGUGUAGCGGUGAAAUGCGUAGAGAUCUGGAGGAAUACCGAUGGCGAAGGCAGCCAUCUGGCCUAAUACUGACGCUGAGGUACGAAAGCAUGGGGAGCAAACAGGAUUAGAUACCCCCGUAGUCCCUGUCUCUUAUAC
rnacentral:rRNA from 1 species